rnacentral:misc_RNA from 1 species
UUUCCGUAGGUGAACCUGCGGAAGGAUCAUUAUCGUAUAACCGCGGUCUGAGGACUGUCGCUGACCCGAGUGUCCGUGCACGCCCGAGUGCCCUCUCCCCUCUCUCAUCCCCCCCUAUGUGCACCACCGCGUGGGCCCCCCCUUGCCUUGUUCGGCGGGGGGCUUACGCUUUCACACAAACUUUGUUUGCAGUGUAGAAUGUGUUUUUUCUUUUUGCGACCACGCUCUCAAUACAACUUUCAACAAAGGAUCUCUCGGAUCUUGCAACGACGAAGCACG